AGUCGAACGGAAAGGCCCUGCUUGCAGGGUACUCGAGUGGCGAACGGGUGAGUAACACGUGGGUGAUCUGCCCUGCACUUCGGGAUAAGCCUGGGAAACUGGGUCUAAUACCGGAUAGGAGCCAUUUUUAGUGUGAUGGUUGGAAAGUUUUUUCGGUGUAGGAUGAGCUCGCGGCCUAUCAGCUUGUUGGUGGGGUAAUGGCCUACCAAGGCGGCGACGGGUAGCCGGCCUGAGAGGGUGGACGGCCACACUGGGACUGAGAUACGGCCCAGACUCCUACGGGAGGCAGCAGUGGGGAAUAUUGCACAAUGGGCGCAAGCCUGAUGCAGCGACGCCGCGUGGGGGAUGACGGCCUUCGGGUUGUAAACUCCUUUCGCUAGGGACGAGGCUUUUUGUGACGGUACCUAGAUAAGAAGCACCGGCUAACUACGUGCCAGCAGCCGCGGUAAUACGUAGGGUGCGAGCGUUGUCCGGAAUUACUGGGCGUAAAGGGCUCGUAGGUGGUUUGUCGCGUCGUCUGUGAAAUUCCGGGGCUUAACUCCGGGCGUGCAGGCGAUACGGGCAUAACUUGAGUACUGUAGGGGUAACUGGAAUUCCUGGUGUAGCGGUGAAAUGCGCAGAUAUCAGGAGGAACACCGAUGGCGAAGGCAGGUUACUGGGCAGUUACUGACGCUGAGGAGCGAAAGCAUGGGUAGCGAACAGGAUUA
rnacentral:rRNA from 1 species